GUGUGAUGCGGCAAGAUGCGACCGUGGCUGGAGCGUGACGGGCUGCUCAUUCAGGUUGAGCCAAGUGAUUUGGCCAAGUCAGAAUUAGUUAGAGUAUGUGAGGCUGUAGCUGCAUGUGUGCGUGGUGCUAGCCGAGUCAAGAGUCAGUGCAUGCGUGAGUUUGUUAGUGAUUGACAUGGGCGUGCAUGUAGCUAGUCAGUUGGCGAAUGGGUUAGUGCGUGGAGGGUGCUGUUAGUGGCCGGUUAAGGUGGCUGGUAGUGCGUGCGUGAGUCCAGCACCUGAUGUAUAUAUACAUGUUGCAUACUGAGUAAUGAAGUGAGGCCGAGAGGGCUGAGCAGAGAAACCAUGUAGCCAUUGUGGUUCACCAAGGGAGUGUCUCUGGCAAAGCGGUUCCUCUUCCUUGGUAUAUGCGUGCGUUGUGUGUGUGUGAGUGUUCUUGUGGGAAGCCACCGAGGAGAAGAGUAGCUUGAGAGAGAUGGAGAGUUGUGUGAGGCAGCUCAAGGUAGAAGAAGAAGUGGCGCUGCGAGGUGAGGCGGCGCCAACAAUUGGCAUCAGAGCCUCGUCGAUUCGGCGACGACGAUGGCGCGGCGGACUCCAUGUGAGAUGGAGGCCGGCCGUGCAAGGAGGAGGCCGUUAUGUGGAGAAGAGGGCGUGGUGAUCGGCAUUGCGAAGGCGUCAUCCACGUCAUGAGGUGGCCGCUGCGUGCGGCAGGACGAUGUGGUGAUGGGCGCUGCGACGGCGUCGACCACGACAAGAUGGUGCAUGGUGGUGUCCGGCGCUGCGACGGCGUCGACCACGACAAGAUGGUGCAUGGUGGUGUCCGGCGCUGCGACGGCGUCGACCACGACAAGAUGGUGCAUGGGGGUGUCCGGCGCUGCGACGGCGUCGUCCACGACAAGGUGCACGGCGCUGGGAUGACGUUGGCAAGUGGUUGUGGGUGAUCUGCGUUGAUGAUAGGAGAAUCAAGAUUAGGGGGUGAAUGUUAGACUUAAUCUUGAUUCCAUGUAUCUGCAUAUUUAGUUUGCUUUCGUUGUGCAUGUAGGAUAGGUUAGAGUGUAGCUAGUCUGGUGAAGCUUCAGCGGAGGCACGCGGAGAAGAUGAGAUGUCAGGCUGCCGUGCGACGCGGCGAGCACGAGGAAAUGUCGAUAUUGCUAUGCGAUAAGGCAACGCCGUGUGAUGCGGCAAGAUGCGACCGUGGCUGGAGCGUGACGGGCUGCUCAUUCAGGUUGAGCCAAGUGAUUUGGCCAAGUCAGAAUUAGUUAGAGUAUGUGAGGCUGUAGCUGCAUGUGUGUGUGGUGCUAGCCGAGUCAAGAGUCAGUGCAUGCGUGAGUUUGUUAGUGAUUGACAUGGGCGUGCAUGUAGCUAGUCCGUUGGCGAAUGGGUUAGUGCGUGGAGGGUGCUGUUAGUGGCCGGUUAAGGUGGCUGGUAGUGCGUGCGUGAGUCCAGCACCUGAUGUAUAUAUACAUGUUGCAUACUGAGUAAUGAAGUGAGGCCGAGAGGGC
rnacentral:lncRNA from 1 species